rnacentral:tRNA from 1 species
GGGGUUGCAGCUCAUUGGUAGAGCAGUUGCCUAAUGUGUGAGGCACUGGUUUUAAGUCUUAGCACCACAUAUAAAUAAAUAAAUAAAUAUAGUCCAUCAGCAACUAAAAAAUAUUUUUAAAAAUAAGUAUUACACAUUAUUUUAGAAAAUUUGGGCUGAAGGAAUAGGGAGGGGUGAAGUUUGGUUAUAGAGCAAGUGUGUGGCAUGUAUAAGGCCUUGGGUUCAAUCCCCAGCAGGCUCC